ensembl:lncRNA
GUUUUAUUUUAGCAUCCCCCUAGGUUUCCGAGAGCCUAGGUUGGGUUGGGUCUGAUCUGUCCGUCUGAUGGAAUCCUGAGCUCCCAAAUCUGGAUGAAACUGAUUUCCUGGUCCUGGGCAGGCUCGCAGCAGCGCCUGUUAUAAAAACAAAGGCUGUGCUGAUGGGGGGGGAAUCCCACUACAAAGCAGGGCAUGGGCAUUACUGCUGGGCUGUGGGGUUAGGAGCGCGUUCCACGUGGGGUUUACCAACUCAGCGGUGACCCUCUGGGUCAGCAGUGCUUCAGUGGGAUGUGGUGGCCACGGAGGGAGACGAUUUAGGGGUGGGGUAAAGGAAGCCGUGCAAUUGGAACAGGGCGGGUUGCUGUCAGCGAAAGGCAUGAAGUCAAAAAUAAAUAAAUAAAUGGAAGCCUAAUUGCCAGGGUAAGAAAAUACAGAGGAGGAAAGAGGGAGAUGAAGGGGGAGAACAAGAGCAUCCCCAGUGGCAAAACGGUUAAAAGAGAAGAGUAAAAUCCAGCGCAAAAUCAAGCAGUCAAGUAGUUAAUUGACUUUGCUUUAAUCAGCCCAAUGAAUAUUCAUUAGCGUGCUGGUCCUAAUCACGGGGGCCAUGUUGGCCGCGUUCAGCAGGCGCGCGCCCAGCCCCGUGCAUGCCUCAGCAGCCGCCGUCCGCCCGCACCGCACCGGGGCUGCGGGGAUUGGCCCGCGGCUGCCUCCGGGAUGCCAUAGCAACCCCUGGCCCGUUGCCGUGGCAACAGAGGGGUUUUGUAAGGGCCUGAGCCAGUAAUCCAUAGGCUUAGCGGCGGCAAUGUGUCUUUGUGGGGCGUGCGGGGUGGAUGUAUGGCCGGGAGAUUGGAUGGGCGGGCGGCGUGCGUGGCUCCCAUUGUGUGCCCGCGCCGUGGGAGGGGGCUGCGGGGUCUCCUCCUCCUCCUCGACUCGAGAAGCUGAACAGCCCUGUUCAUUGUUGCUCGGAGCUGUGGUCCCAUAGUGGUGUACGUGGCCGCAGUACUCGGUGGGAUCGUCUGCACCAUCUCCUGGAUGUUCCAGGUGUUGAGGAAGGGCCGAUGCGCUCAGCUGAGAGAAGCAGUCAUCCCCAGCACAACAGAACCCAGUGGCUGCAGGCUACAAAAAUCCCCACAAAGUGGUCCCUGCUGGGAGAAAGAACCCUCAAGACAAAACUCAAGGACUUGUCUCCUUAUCACCUCGCAAAGACUUUUGUUUCCUGGGACAGGAGCCUAUUAUGUCGUCACACGCUGGAACAGGAAUAAUCUCCCCCCUCGCUUGGAAGUCUUAAUAGAAGACAAUGAAAGAAACCAUAUUGUUUUCUGCUGGCACCAAAUAAAGGAAGCAAGGGAAUCUGAAGGGGGAAAAAU